rfam:Leucosporidium creatinivorum strain 62-1032 BCR35scaffold_26, whole genome shotgun sequence.
GGAGCUUUGGCCGAGCGGUCUAAGGCGCCAGCUUAAGGUGAUUCACUCAUUGUCCGCUGGUCCGAAAGGGCGUGGGUUCAAAUCCCACAGGCUUCA